AGAGCACUCAGCUGUGCAAAUGAAAUGCUGGCACCUCACUGAUAAGAGGGGAGAGUGCCCAUGCCAGGGCAGAGGCGGGGGACAUGUAAGGAUGCAGCAGAUAAUGGUGGCUCGAGAGCUGCUGGAGGUCAGAGCCAUCCCAGAGCAGUUUGCUCACCUGUGGACUUCAGCUACACCAGCACAGACCUUCCAUGUCUACUGGGGAGAGGUGACAGCACUGAUUAAUUUGACCCUCUGCUCUACAAAUGCUAAUCUACAUCUGUGUCUUAUUCUGGAACAGAGCCCAAAGUCCUGGAUCUGUUGUAUCUCAGCACACAAUUGCAAAAGGACGAAUGUGAUGUGAUUCUAGAAGUGCAGCAGAAGGGAGGAAGCUGCACUUCCCCAAGGUUCCCUGCCCACUUAAAGACCAUGUUCAUCAGGAUACACCUGCUGAGUUUCCUGCUGUGAACAUCUGACAGGCAGCUGAUAAAAAAGGACAGAACCGAGGGAGCAGAGAGCCAAAGAAUGAAAGGAUGCAAAAGAUGUUGGCAUUUUCCUGCUUACUUUUGGGAUGCUGAUGUGAUUCAAUGCAGGCUAAAAUGGCUUUGUCCUCACACUGAGUGCACAGCAAAAUGGAUGCAUUGCUGUGCAUUGCUGUGUCCCCUGCUCCAAGUGCUGCUCCCCUGUUUAACAAAGAGGUAUAACCAAAUGGGGAGCUGACAUUACUUCCUAAGGGUGCAGACAUUCCUAACAAGGAGGUCAAUGACAACUUCAAGCAUAGCAAAAAGAGUAUUCCUAUAAUUCUUUAGAACAACGUUAUCACUUAUUACCUGUCACUGGGAAUACAGUAAGAAUCCUAAAUAUGACUUGGAGACGAUUUGGAAAAGCAAAACUUACAAUUUGAAAACUGCACAUAACAUUUCUCUGAGAAACAAAAAGUUCCUGAGGUUCCUGCCUGCAAGAGGGUGCCAUAAGCAUCCCUGCAGAUAUUUAUUCUGACCUCCUGGACCUUUGUCCGAGGCUCAUUUAUUGGGUUUAAAUAAAUAAGCAUUAACAAACCCAAGGCUUCAGAUCUUCCACUGUCCUGCACUGAGCCAAGAUCUUAAGCAAAGAGGCUUAAGUCACAUCUAUAUUUCCUUUGACCUAGAGACAGAGCACAGCUCAGUAUAUCCCAGUUAUGGAGCAAAAAGACCUCUAUGGCUGUACAACCUUGCGUUCAGCUGCCUGAGAAAUCUUUAGAAACUGCUGUAAAGGCAGAUCACCACAGGCUGGCAUUCCCUGCUUGCUGCAGACACUUUCACAUGCAGCACUGGCUGGGCAGAGCAGCCAGAGCCCCAGCCCUGACUUACUUGCAUGACAGCCUCAGGAAUCCUCCUGGUGCUGCCUCGCCAGCCUUGGGUAGUGCUGCACUGCAGGAAUACAGUGCCCAGCCUCUCAGAGCCAGCCCUUGAGCUUUGGUAGCUGCCAGGACAAAAGACAAUCUCUAAAUGUCAGCCAAUAUAAUCUCACAGACAUCACCUAUAACUUUUCCUGGGCUUACCUGGGUCGCUGUGGAGGGUAGGGCACUGUUUCCCCUGACAUUCACAACGAACGCGUGCACCAGAGAAUACGAGGCUCCUCGUACACAGCGUAUUGUUCUGGAUUUCCUAUUUCUUCAGGGUUGUCUUGGCAACGAAGAGGGUUUGCCGCUAGAGGUGUGUGAAACACUGGGUAACAAAAAACAUCACAACUCCCACUUGUUUCAUUCCAUCACCCCUUUAAACCUGACUCUUUUUCAACCUGGAACUGCUCUCAGUGUGCUGUGUGUCAGGAGGGGCAGCGCAAAUCAGCGCAGACUCCUCUGCCUCCCCCUUUCCCCCAACACAGUGAUUUUGAAAAUAACAAAAAAUGACAUUUUUCAUUGGAAAAUGAUGUCUAUCCAAAUACCCUUACAUGCUCUGUUCCCAUUCUGCCUUCAACUACCUUUUUAGGGAGUAGUUCCCUGGCAGGCAAUGGAACUGGCAGCUCCAGAAUGGAUUUAAGCAAAAUCAGGAUGGGAUUUUUCAUUUGUUUGCUUGUUUUAAUUAAUGACAUUUUUAGUGACGUUAGUGAAGUCAAUGAGGUGACUGUGAACUGAUUUCAAUAUGAUCAGGUCUGCCAAUUUGCCCUAAAUAAAAGGAGCCUUUCCUUUGUACAGAGAAGAGAUGCUGGACAGAGAAUGCUACACCUGGUCAGCAAACUAAUGGAAGUACCCCACUUGCCCUUCUGACUCAGCUCCUUCCAUGGACAACAGACCUUUAUUUACUAUCAAUGGAAGUAUUCUGAAAAGUUUUUAAAGCAUCUGUGGAUGCACACAGAUGCAUCAACAUCACCUUGCUCAUUCAUGUAAUUUGCCUUUAUUUUUACUUACUGAAGGCAUUAAAAAAUUAACCCAAACAGCUGUUCAGAUGCCUCUAUUUUUUUAUGCAGCAAAGGGAAAAAAAGUCUGAACAGCUGUGUCAGUGGAACACAUCCAGGUGGCAUCCCUAAGGCAAAGUUUUUAUAAAACCUGUAAGAUAAUAUUUUUAUUAUCUUAGUUAUUUUAUUUCUUUUUUAUUACUUAGCUCUUGUAGAUUCUUAAAGAGGUAUUAGCUAGUUAUUUCUUCACCCUCAUCCCUCAGUGUUUGAGCUGUGCUGUAGCUCAACACAGAUGCUGCAGUGAUUCAGCCAUCAAAGGGGAAAAUCACCCUUUCAGCAGAAUCCUUCUGAAUCUAUUCUGGGGUCUUAAAUGGGAUGUGAGUCUGGGUAAGGAGCAAUUUUGCAUAUCUGGCUUUUCUACAGGGAGAAACUCAAGAUGUGGCACCAAAAAUUGCCUUAGGGAUGCUCAAAAGCAGAGGGAAUUUGUUUCCCAGAUUGUAUAACUAAGCUGAGACACAGAAUUUUGUUGCAGUUCCUUGACAAGGUAGCUGGGUCAUCCCCAAGGAGAGGCCAAGACUCACAAUUACACAAGAGUCUGAAAGAGCAGCUGUUUGGGACUCCAACAUGUGUAGCACUGGGGAUUUGGAAAUGGCUGGUCAAAUUCUCAGCUGUGUGAUGCUGAAAUCUGUAUCAGGUUCACUGACAAAGACUCAUGAAGAAACUCCCUCACUGAAGUUCUGAAUUCCUCAACUGCAGUCCCAGAAGUUUCCCAUUCUGCAUGGAGUACAUUUUAGCUUUCUAAACUCUGGCACCCUUUCCAUGCAUUUACUAUCAUGUCUCAAGCAUGAGAAUCUUCCAAACACCAGUUCCAAGCUCUGCAUUUUCUGGCACCACACUCCCUCUGUGCCCUAGGCCAUCAUACCAGAGUCCAAACCCUACACCCUGCCCAGUCAUCCAGGGCUCAUCUGCUUGGUGCCUUCCACAGAAACCCUCCUAAGAGUGGGAUUCUGUUGCUAUAAGGCAGCUUGCUGAAUUAUGGAUGUGCUAUCCAUAAACUGAUGGUUGAUAUUUUCUGCCCUGACAUCAGUCCUUGAAUUAACAACUCUGUAGAACAAAGUGAAAGCACUGAAGUGUCAAAAUUACCAGCCACAACACAGGUGUUACAGCAAAUGAUAUUCAUAAUAACGAAUAAAAAUAACUAUAGUGAUUAAGCAAUUUGUUGCUGUUAUUGUUUUUUCUCUUAUUCCCACAAUAUUUGACAAA